rnacentral:rRNA from 1 species
CGUUUAGGGGUAAACCUGAGAAACCCGAAAGGUCGAAGGGAGAAAUUCAUUCGCGUUUCGAUGCGGGCGUUUAAUGAAGUGAUUCAAGUGACGAGAAUUGUUUCGACAAUUUUUGCACCCUUCAUUUUUCGAACCUGUAACGAAUGCGUGCACUUUUCUCCUGGUAGGACGUCGCGAUCCGUUGGGUGUCGGUCUAAGGUCAAUGGUGGAGGCCAGUCGUCGGUUAUUGUAACUUGUUACAGUAAUCUCAGAUAAUUGGACCCGUUGUAACCUGGACGACUUGCUCGACGGUAUACUGAAAGGUUUUGGAUCGCUGCUUAUUUUAAUAAGCGUUCGACUUAUGGCAAGCGCGCCAGUUGUUUGUCGAUAAUCGGACCUAGUGCCGGUUACGACCUCUGGUGACUGUUGGCUAUAAUGUUCUCGAACCGAUUCGCUUUAUAAAAACCGAUCUGCGGCGCUAUAGAUUUGGGUAAUUUCAGGACCCGUCUUGAAACACGGACCAAGGAGUCUAGCAUGUACGCAAGUCAUUGGGAUUUAAACUAAACCCAAGGGCGUAAUGAAAGUAAAGAUCUUUCUUGUAGAGAUCAAGGGAAGAUGAAUGAUUAAUGAGCAAUUGUUAAUUGUUUCGCAUUCCCGGGGCGUCUUAAUCUCAUUACGAGAUGAGGCGCACCAAGAGCGUACACGCUGGGACCCGAAAGAUGGUGAACUAUGCCUGGUCAGGACGAAGUCAGGGGAAACCCUGAUGGAGGUCCGUAGCGAUUCUGACGUGCAAAUCGAUCGUCGGAACUGGGUAUAGGGGCGAAAGACUAAUCGAACCAUC